UAUAACAAAACAAUAGCUGGCCCAUUAAAUACUUCUCCAGCCCAUUAUCUCUAAAGUCUAAACCCUAUUUCCUAAUUCUCGUUCUUCUCUUGCCAAGCGCCGCUCCACAUGUGAAGAAUCUAUUAUCAAUUUCCUCUCAGAAUAGCGCCGCUUUUCCCGUCAUCCUUGCGGAGCAGCUAUGGUGCUUUCUUCUUCGUCAAAUCGCCGGCAAACAACUAAGGAAGAGAACAACCCUUGUUUACUUACAUAGCUGCGCUAUUCUGCUUCCUCUGUCGAAUGGCCGACGAAAUAAUAUUUAUGAACACCUUACUUUUGUUCUUUCUUCACCCUCGUCUAUUUGGUAUUUUAUUUCUCGAUCGAACAAUAGGUAAUAUUCUAAUUCAUUAUUUUUUUGUGAUUUGAGAGCAGAUUUUGUAUUUUAAGAAUUACUUCUGGGUAAUUUCCGAAAAAAAUCAAAUAAAUUCCGAAAAUUUCCGAAAUUUUUCCAAACAUUUC
rnacentral:lncRNA from 1 species